rnacentral:rRNA from 1 species
AGUAGUAAUACGAGAUGACCUUAGCGGCGGACGGGUGAGUAACGCGUGAGCAACCUGGCCUAUACAGGGGGAUAACAGGGAGAAAUUCCUGCUAAUACCGCAUAAGACCACAGUAUCGCAUGGUAGUGAGGUCAAAGGAGAGAUUCGGUAUAGGAUGGGCUCGCGUCCCAUUAGCUAGUUGGGGGUGCAACGGACCACCAAGGCGACGAUGGGUAGCCGACCUGAGAGGGUGAUCGGCCACACUGGGACUGAGACACGGCCCAGACUCC